rnacentral:rRNA from 1 species
AAUAUUGGUCAAUGGAGGCAACUCUGAACCAGCCACGUCGCGUGAAGGAUGACGGCACUACGGGUUGUAAACUUCUUUUAUACAGGAAUAAAGUGAGUCACGUGUGUCUUUUUGCACGUACUGGAUGAAUAAGGAUCGGCUAACUCCGUGCCUGCAGCCGCGGUAAUCCGGAGGAUCCAAGCGUUACCCGGAUUUAUUGGGUCUAAAGGGUGCGCAGGCGGAAGAUUAAAUCGGCGGUAAAAUUUUGCGGCUCAACUGUAAAAGUGCCAUCGAUACUGGUUUUCUUGCGUGUGGAUGAAGUAGGCGGAAUUUGUGGUGUAGCGGUGAAAUGCAUAGAUCUCACGAGGAACUCCGAUUGCGCAGGCAGCUUACUAGGCCAUAACUGACGCUCAGGCACGAAGGCGUGGGGAUCAAACAGG